CCUCCUCCUCUUCCUCACAAUCCUGUCGGCAAUAGCGCGUCGUCGAGGGUUGAGCUGCGCAAUUCAUAGUCUGUGAAUUGCGAACUCCGAAUUACGAGGCGAAUUGCAGUGCAGAGCUAUCGUAGUAGGAGUUCCGUGAGGAGAUCGAAGGAUUUGUGCGUAAUCUUUGCUGCGAUGGAUUCAAGUGGAGUGGAUACGGAGCCGCUUCUGCAAGGAGUGCAGUACCCUCCGCUGUACUCCCCAGCUCUGUCUUCUGCGUUUCGCCCAGACAGUUCGUCGCAGGAAGGGGAGGGGCAUUUAAGUGAAUGGGCCGAGGGGCAAUAUACUUCAUCGGGAGCGAAUCCUAUUCUUCCCAGCGUGCCAUCAAUGGAGACUGCUUCAUUGGCCACAGUUAACGAGAUUCGCGAGGCUGCUAGUCAAGAUCCUUAUCCGCAAUGGAUCUAUGGCGCAUUGCUUGAUCCUGAAGUUUCGUCACAAAGGGAUGUGCAGCCUCCUCAAGUUUCCCAACCAAGCGCCACGCAAGAUAGUCAAUCAAAUGCAGGAGCAGCGCCCAUCCGUGAGCAGAGCCACGUUACAGAGGAGGAAAUUCGAGAGAUCUUGACGGCCUAUGUGGAGAAGCAGGGUUGUUGGGGUGGGCGGCCAGCAAACGAAUGGGUAAUCAGCAAGAUUGAAGACUGUAACGUGUAUGUUGGAACCCUCGAGACCUUCAUUGAGGAACGAGAUGUGGAGAGACUGGUCAAGCCUUACACUGGAGGUCCUGUUCAGGACAAUUCAAGUAAACAUGUGCCAGGCCCGUGGGAAAUAGAUAUGAGACAUGAGUUUCCUUUGUUGUUCACCACAAGUAAAAUGGUUCAUCAGAAAAUUCCCUCUUCGGUAUUAGUACAACCAUGUGGAGACUGUUCUGGUCGAAAGGAAGUUUCCUGCCCUCGGUGCAAUCCAAACAAGGACCUCGAUUCUUGUGUACAUGGCGUGACUACUGAGUGUUCAAAAUGCCAUGGCCGUGGCCUUCUUGCUCAUCAGGACGGCUCUGAUACCAACUGUGAACAGUGUAGAGGUAAAGGGAGGUUGCCAUGCGCACAAUGCAAUUCUAGAGGCCGCAUCCAAUGUGGCAAAUGUCAGGGAUCAGGUGCAUUGCUGGAGGAAAAGCAAUUGAAUGUUAAGUGGUCAACUCUGAUAUCCAAGAAGAUCAGCACAUCAAUCAAUGCAAGUUUGGUGCCUGAUGAUGUAUUCCAUGAAGCCAAAGGAAUUCAACUGUACAGCAGCGAGUCGUACCAAUGUCAGCCCGUGAGCUUCCCCAACUCCCUCGUUCUCACAAGGCUCUCAUCUAAUGUCAUUGCGGAGAGGAUUCCUGUUCCACCGACAGCCCGCGUCAUUUCUGAGCGACAUCAAGUUCAUAUGAUUCCUGUGACGCGCGUCUCUGUGGGCCAGGGCCGAGGCUCCUUCAAGUUCCAUAUUGUCGGCGUGGAGAAGCAUAUCUACCUCAAGGAUUAUCCUGACAGGUGCUGCUGGGGGCUUUGUGGUCUUGGAACUUUAUGCUCCAUCUUGUGACAUCCGUGCCUCAAACCCACCCACUUCUCUUGGUCUGUAGCUGUGUGUUCUCAGGCCUGUGGGGCCAGGAGCACUGUUGGGUGCAGGGGUCGCUCUCACGCUGUCAGUUGGGCUGGCGUUACUGUGGAAGGUGACUCAACAGCAAAAACCUCGGCACUCUCGGCAGUUUAUAAUUCGUAUUUAAUUCCCUGUAAAACAAUGUUGGUUACUGUAAGUUAGCUCUGCUGUGUUUGUGUGUGUGUUUUUGUACGAGUGAAUAAAUAUAACAAAGAGAGACAUAUAGGCAGCUGUGCAGUAUAAAGGCCACCAUCGAGGGGGCAGUAGUGAAGUAUGUUUGGUAUUUUGGAUUUUUUGCUUAUAUCGAUUAGGUUGAGUUUCGAGGCCUUGUGUGCUUCGAUGGAAUGAAAUAUUCUAAUUAUAAAGAAGCUCAUCUGUAUGCACAUUUGAAUGAAAAUACCCCUUUCAGACACCUCUUUUUUUCA